rnacentral:rRNA from 1 species
UACGUAGGUGGCAAGCGUUGUCCGGAUUUAUUGGGCGUAAAGGGCGCGCAGGCGGUCCGUCAAGUCCGAGGUGAAAUCUCCCGGCCUAACUGGGAGGGGUCUUCGGAUACUGGCGGACUUGAGGAGAGCAGAGGUGAGCGGAAUUCUCGGUGUAGUGGUGAAAUGCGUAGAUAUCGAGAGGAACACCAGCGGCGAAGGCGGCUCACUGGGCUCCACCUGACGCUGAGGCGCGAAAGCGUGGGGAGCAAACCGG